rnacentral:tRNA from 1 species
GGAUUGUGGCUCAGCGGUAGAGUGCUUGUCUUGCACACGUGAGGCUCUGGGUUCGAUCCUCAGCACCA